rnacentral:lncRNA from 1 species
GUACCUCGAAAAGGUAAAAGAACUAACCACAUCUUUUCUAAGCUUUGUAUCCAACAGGUACCACGAACAUAAAAUACAUGGGCAGAUGCACUGUCAAAGCUAGCAGUCUCUCUACUAUCCGAAUUUUAAAUAAGAACUUACAUCGAGAUAUUGAAAAACUCAAGUCUGAAAGAACCUCUUGCUAUUCAGCAGAUUGAAGAAGAGCCUUACUGAAUUUGACCCCUUGCUGAAGUACCUCAGAUUGGGUGAAUUACCACCUGAC